rnacentral:lncRNA from 1 species
UUUUCUAAACAAAUUGUAAACGAAUCCUAAUUUGAUUCAAUUCAUUAUGGAUUCGUAAUAGGAUAAAUGAAUAAUAAAUGAAUUUGAAUUCGAUUCGAUUAUUAAUUCUACUAAAUGAAUUAAACAAAUCAAGCCGAAUAUUCGUUUAUAAACGAAUCGAAUCUGAAUCCUAAGAUUUCAAUUCGUUUAAUAAAUGAAUCGAAUCUGAAUCAAUAGAAUUUCGAUUCAAUUCGUUUACAAUUCGAUUCGUUUAUUUGUUUUGGCACUCCUAUUUGAAUCUACUAGUUAUGGUUUUAUCUUAUACUUGUCUGAUGUUAACUAGUCUUCUUGAAUUACCCGAAUCUUUUUGAUAAUAUGAUAGAUUGUUUGAAGAGUUUCAAGUAGAAGAUAUGAUAUUCGAUGAACAAAAUGAAGGAAGAGUUGGUGGACAUAAAUUUAUCUAAUCAAGAGUAUAUUGGGGAAAUGAAUGCCAGUAGAGAUAUGAUUGCAAGAGCAUUGUGGCAUGACUAUACACGAGAUAAUGUGUAUGUCAAUUUUUAUUUGUUAUAUAUUUGAGUUUCUAAUCUUA